CUGGCUCAGAUUGAACGCUGGCGGCAGGCCUAACACAUGCAAGUCGAGCGGCAGCACGGGUACUUGUACCUGGUGGCGAGCGGCGGACGGGUGAGUAAUGCCUAGGAAUCUGCCUGGUAGUGGGGGAUAACGCUCGGAAACGGACGCUAAUACCGCAUACGUCCUACGGGAGAAAGCAGGGGACCUUCGGGCCUUGCGCUAUCAGAUGAGCCUAGGUCGGAUUAGCUAGUUGGUGAGGUAAUGGCUCACCAAGGCGACGAUCCGUAACUGGUCUGAGAGGAUGAUCAGUCACACUGGAACUGAGACACGGUCCAGACUCCUACGGGAGGCAGCAGUGGGGAAUAUUGGACAAUGGGCGAAAGCCUGAUCCAGCCAUGCCGCGUGUGUGAAGAAGGUCUUCGGAUUGUAAAGCACUUUAAGUUGGGAGGAAGGGCAGUUACCUAAUACGUGAUUGUUUUGACGUUACCGACAGAAUAAGCACCGGCUAACUCUGUGCCAGCAGCCGCGGUAAUACAGAGGGUGCAAGCGUUAAUCGGAAUUACUGGGCGUAAAGCGCGCGUAGGUGGUUUGUUAAGUUGGAUGUGAAAUCCCCGGGCUCAACCUGGGAACUGCAUCCAAAACUGGCAAGCUAGAGUAUGGUAGAGGGUGGUGGAAUUUCCUGUGUAGCGGUGAAAUGCGUAGAUAUAGGAAGGAACACCAGUGGCGAAGGCGACCACCUGGACUGAUACUGACC
rnacentral:rRNA from 1 species